rnacentral:tRNA from 1 species
AAGACUUUAAGUUAAAUAAACUAAAAACCUUCAAAGUUUUCAUUGACACACGUCAAGUCUUG